rnacentral:rRNA from 1 species
UACGAAGGGGGCUAGCGUUGCUCGGAAUCACUGGGCGUAAAGCGCACGUAGGCGGCUUCUUAAGUCAGGGGUGAAAUCCUGGAGCUCAACUCCAGAACUGCCUUUGAUACUGAGGAGCUUGAGUCCGGGAGAGGUGAGUGGAACUCCGAGUGUAGAGGUGAAAUUCGUAGAUAUUCGCAAGAACACCAGUGGCGAAGGCGGCUCACUGGCCCGAUACUGACGCUGAGGUGCGAAAGCGUGGGGAGCAAACAGG